rnacentral:rRNA from 1 species
CGUCAAAUCAUCAUGCCCCUUAUGUUCUGGGCUACACACGUGCUACAAUGGCCGGUACAGACGGACGCAAAGCCGCGAGGUGGAGCAAAUCCUAAAAAAGCCGGUCUCAGUUCGGAUUGCAGGCUGCAAUUCGCCUGCAUGAAGUCGGAAUCGCUAGUAAUCGCAGGUCAGCAUACUGCGGUGAAUACGUUCCCGGGCCUU